GAUGAACGCUGGCGGCGUGCCUAAUACAUGCGAGUCGAGCGAACGGACGCGAAGCUUGCUUUUCUGAUGUUAGCGGCGGACGGGUGAGUAACACGUGGAUAACCUACCUAUAAGACUGGGAUAACUUCGGGAAACCGGAGCUAAUACCGGAUAAUAUUUUGAACCGCAUGGUUCAAAAGUGAAAGACGGUCUUGCUGUCACUUAUAGAUGGAUCCGCGCUGCAUUAGCUAGUUGGUAAGGUAACGGCUUACCAAGGCAACGAUGCAUAGCCGACCUGAGAGGGUGAUCGGCCACACUGGAACUGAGACACGGUCCAGACUCCUACGGGAGGCAGCAGUAGGGAAUCUUCCGCAAUGGGCGAAAGCCUGACGGAGCAACGCCGCGUGAGUGAUGAAGGUCUUCGGAUCGUAAAACUCUGUUAUUAGGGAAGAACAUAUGUGUAAGUAACUGUGCACAUCUUGACGGUACCUAAUCAGAAAGCCACGGCUAACUACGUG
rnacentral:rRNA from 1 species